GGGGAUAUGGCGAAAUCGGAAGA
rnacentral:tRNA from 1 species